GGGACGGAGACCAUUACCGAACUGUUGCCGAAAUACCCCUUUGUGCAGAAGUUGUGAAGAGAUGUGUUGAUAUUUGCUUUGGAUUCGUCCGAACAAUUUGAUAAUCAGAGUACUUAAAUACAAGAGCUACCCAGUUCCUGGUGAUCUUGAACAUGUCUCAAAAUUCCUCACCGUUUCUAUAUAUUGACAACUCACCGUGGAUCAUACAAUCACUGAACAGGCUCCAACAGAACUAUCAUCUUCAUACUUUCUCUCUGUGCUGUCCUCAGAGGAUUUACUGCAGCAAUCAUAUGUUCUUCCACCAGAUCCCAGACGGGUUCGGCACCGUGCUCCAGGUUGGUUGCUGAUUCCAUUGAAGUUAAGGAGCUGAAAAGGAUGGAUUUUUGGGAAUCGUCAAUGAUGAAACAAAAGAUGCAAUUAUGAAGCUCAAUUACUCUAGCUGAAAAAGGUGUCAAAUGACAUUAUCGUAGAACAAGAGGAGACACAAGAGGCUACAGACGCUGGAAAUCUGGAGCAACACACAAAAGGCGCUGGAAGAACUCAGCGAGUCAGGCAGCAUCUAUAGAGGGAAAACGGACAGUUGACAUUUUGGGUUGGGACCCCUCACCUGGACUGAAAGAGUAUAAAAAGGUGGGGGGAAAAGGUGUGGAGCAAGAGCUGGCAGGCAAUAGGUGGAUCCAGGUGAGGGGAUGGGGUGAUAGGCAGGUGGGAGAGCGAGGAGAGUAGGAAUGAUGUCAGAAACUGAUAGGUGAUAGAUGGAAGUAACAAAGGGCUGAAGAAGAUGGAAUCCGA